GGCUCUGCCGCCUCCGGCUCUGCCACCUCCGGCUCUGCCGGUGCUUGCGGCGCUCAGCAGGCGGCACGGCAGCAGGAAUCCCGCAGGGAUGCGAUCCAGCAGGGAAUGGGUGCUGUGCCCGAGCGCUGUCCCGGUGCAGGCUGGUGACAGCAGCGUCCCCGCCCUGCUGGCCCCCAGAGCCCCGCGGUGCCCGUGGGACACCCGGCAUCCUUUUCCAGGUUGGAAAAAGGCCCUCUGGCAUUGCUGCUGUCCCUGUAGCCACGCAGCCAGCACGGGGCUACCGAGCCCCACGGCUGGGCCAUGCACUGGCCAUGGCCAGCGUCUGCCUUGUGGCCACCAAGGGCAAGUGAGACAGCCCACAAUGUCCCUGUUCCCAGAAGAUGCCCACUGGCGUAGGGAGGGAUGAAGGAUGGGGGUGAUGAGGAUGAGCUGAAUGUCAGCCCCCAGAACCCCUGAUCCCAAGGGCACACCAGGAGCCCUGGUAACAGCUCUGGGCCUGUGGGAAGCCCAGGGUGGGCAGCAGGAGCAGGCACAGCACGUGUGUCCCUGGAGCUGCAGCUGCUGCUGGAAGGGUGGCGAGGCUUGAAGUCACAUCGUGCACAGCAGGAAAGCCCAUCCUGCGCCGGAGCUAAUUGGAAGCCACAUCAGAGCAUGAGUCAGGGCUGAUCACAGCACAGCACUGCUUCACCAUCCCGCAGGACAAAGGCACGCUCCCCUAAAUCCAUUACUGGAAUUUUAUUUUCAAGCCUGUCAUGGGGCUGAAAAGGUUGUGAAGCUGUUUGGACACUGCCCUGCAGGGGAAUUCAGCUGAAGAGCUGCUUUCUCUAAGGCAGCACCUUCAUCUCCCAUCUCUGUGAUCAGAUCAGCGCUGAGGCUCAAGGUGCAUCAUUGUGUCACCUGAAGCCACCUCACAGGACACACUGAGCACUGCUGGUGCCUUCUCCAUGGUGGGCUGGGUGGCUGCUCCCACCAUGUGCAACCAGCUCCAUCCAGGAAUUGCCUGGGCUCUGCUGAGGGAGGCUCUCCCCAUCAAACUAAACCUUGCUCUCGUUCAUACGGGUAGGUGAUUUCUCCAAGCAAAUGCCCAGCAGUCUCUGGAAAAGCUCAGGCAUGGCGCUGGCCAGUGCUCUGUGCCUCAGUCCCCAGAAGGCCAGUGCGGGGGCAGAGCUCUGCUGACUCAGAGCUGUCGGCUCCACUCAAGUGAUCAAGAAAGGAGCUGCCCUGG